AUAAAAGUAGACACAUUCAUCAUUUGACAACAUCCUUGCUGGCACAGAGAAAGCGACUUCUAAAUUCAAUUUGGAAACAGUGUAUGGACAGUAUUUGAACAUAAACAGAACGUGGUGGAAGUGAUGGUGUUGGACUUUAGAGACCAGGCUUCUCUUACAGCACCUGCUCUAAAAGAAGUCAGCUGUCACAGGAGAACACUCAAGCUGCCCCAUGAAGAGGCCCAUAGUGAGGACUGAGGCCUCCUCCUAUCAGCCACACAUGGAAGCAGGUCCUCCAGCUCCAGCCAAGCCUUCAGAUGAUUUUAGCUUCAGCUAUCUUGACUUCAAUCUCAGAGACCCUGAUUCAGAACUACCCAGCUAAGUCACUUUCAAGUUCCUGACCUACAGAAACUAUGAGAUGAUAAAUGUCUGUAAGCUCCAUGAAGGCAGAAUCUUACUACCUUAUUCAUCACCUCCAACAUCCAGCAAAGCACCCGGCCUACAAUAUGUAAAGCUCAAUAAAUACUCGUGGGAUUCAUGAAUAGUAUGUCAAGGUUAUCAAAAACAAGCAAAAUGUGAAAAACUGCAGUCAAGAGAAUCCUAAGAAGCCAUGACAAUCAAAUGAAAUGUGGUAUCCUGGAUGGGAUCCUGGAACAGAAAAAGGACAUCAGGUAAAAACUAAGGAAAUCUAAAUAAACCUAGGAUUUAAUUAAUAAUAAUGUACCAAUAUUGGUUCAUUAAUCAUAACAAAUGUUCCAUUCUAAUGUGAGAUGUUAAUAAUAGGGGAAACUGUGUGCAGGGUAGGGGGAUAUAUAACUCUCUGUAUCAUCUGCUCAAUUUUUCUACAAAUCUACAA